CCGACGUGAUCGAGCCGGGUGGAAAUGCUCGAAAGACUCCCCCUCGCCUGCUCCCGCGGGAAGCCCCCGUCCACGCUCCUUCAGCUGGGGCGGCGGCUGCUUCCUCCGCCUCGGCCGCGACCUGCCGCCCCGGCCCCGCCCCGCCUCCCCCCGCCGCCGCCGCCGCCGCCGACGCACAGCUCCAGUGCCGGCGGGUCUAACGCUGCAUUUCCCCGGGGAAGCGGCGAGGGCGGGCGCCCCGCCUCCUGCUGCCGAAACCGGAGACCCCACAAUUUCGCGGGUCCCGACCCGCUUCUGAGCCAGGCCCGACGUGCAGCCUCCCUGGGAGAGCCGGGUCCGGGCACCGUUUGGGUCCUGAUUCCGAUUCGCGAAAUGCUCAGGAUUCGACGGGGAGACGGGAGCUCCCCCAGUGUCCUCUCCGGGGCCCAACUGUGUAGGCAUUUUCCACUCCUGCCUUAACCUGCCCACCUGAAAUAAGCGGAGGAGAACUGGGAGCCGGGGAGAUGCCAUCUCCAGCCCGCCCGAAAUACCAGUCCGUGCUAGAAUGCCCUUUGGUUAAGACUUCAUUUUCUGCAGAUUGAGCUACUCAUACAGGAUGCAACGAACUAGAAUGUGCUGCCAUCUUCUGGGAGAAGUUCCAAGCCUAGCGUGGAGUCCAAGAUGGAGCUUGAACUCACAACCCUGAGAUCAAGACCUGAGCUGAGAUCAAGAGUUGGAUGCUUAACCAACUGAGCCACCCAGGCACCCCUACCUUAUUAUCCUUUUGAUCUCUGUAAGACUUAUAGUGAUAUACCCUCUUUCAUUCCUGAUUAUGGUAAUUUGUCUUCUCUUUUUUUUAUCUUGCAAGGGAGUUUAUCAAUUUUAUUAAUCUAUUUAGGGAACAACCAUUUGGCUUUGUUAAUUUUCUCUACUCACUAUCUUUUUC